rnacentral:rRNA from 1 species
AUUGAACGCUGGCGGCAGGCUUAACACAUGCAAGUCGAGCGAGCGGCGGACGGGUGAGUAAUGUCUUGGAAACUGCCUCAUUGAGGGGGAUAACUACUGGAAACGGUAGCUAAUACCGCAUACCAUCAGAUGUUCCCAGAUGGGAUUAUCUAGUAUGUGGGGUAAUGGCUCACCGAGGCGACGAUCCCUAGCGGGUCUGAGCGGAUGACCAGCCACACUGGAACUGAGACACGGUCAAGACUCCUACGGUAGGCAGCAGUGGGGAAUAUUGAACAAGGGGCGCAAGCCUGAUGCAGCCAUGCCGCGUGGGUGAAGAAGGCCUUCGGGUUGUAAAGCACUUUCAGCGAGGAGGCGUUACUCGCAGAAGAAGCACCGGCUAACUCCGUGCCAGCAGCCGCGGUAAUUC